GUGGAGCAUGUGGUUUAAUUCGAAGCAACGCGAAGAACCUUACCAGGUCUUGACAUCCUCUGACAACCCUAGAGAUAGGGCGUUCCCCUUCGGGGGACAGAGUGACAGGUGGUGCAUGGUUGUCGUCAGCUCGUGUCGUGAGAUGUUGGGUUAAGUCCCGCAACGAGCGCAACCCUUGAUCUUAGUUGCCAGCAUUCAGUUGGGCACUCUAAGGUGACUGCCGGUGACAAACCGGAGGAAGGUGGGGAUGACGUCAAAUCAUCAUGCCCCUUAUGACCUGGGCUACACACGUGCUACAAUGGAUGGUACAAAGGGCUGCAAACCUGCGAAGGUAAGCGAAUCCCAUAAAGCCAUUCUCAGUUCGGAUUGCAGGCUGCAACUCGCCUGCAUGAAGCCGGAAUCGCUAGUAUUUC
rnacentral:rRNA from 1 species